CGGAAUGUGGUGCAGCUUGGUAGCAUGCAUGCUUCGGGAGCAUGAGGUCGGAGGUUCAAAUCCUCUCAUUCCGACCA
rnacentral:tRNA from 1 species